UACGGGGGGGGGUAAGCGUUGUUCGGAAUUACUGGGCGUAAAGGGCUCGUAGGCGGCCAACUAAGUCAUACGUGAAAUCCCUCAGCUUAACUGGGGAACUGCGUGUGAUACUGGAUGGCUUGGAUUUGGGAGAGGGAUGCGGAAUUCCUGGUGUAGCGGUGAAAUGCGCAGAUAUCAGGAGGAACACCGGUGGCGAAGGCGGCGUUCUGGACUGCAACUGACACUGAGGAACGAAAGCCAGGGGAGCAAACGGG
rnacentral:rRNA from 1 species